GAUGAACGCUAGCGGCAGGCCUAAUACAUGCAAGUCGAACGGUGUAGCAAUACACAGUGGCGCACGGGUGCGUAACACGUAUGCAACCUACCUAUUAUUGGGGGAUAGCCUUUGGAAACGGAGAUUAAUACCGCAUAAGACAGUAACAUGGCAUCAUGUAGCUGUUAAAGCUUCGGCGAUGAUAGAUGGGCAUGCGUCCAAUUAGUUAGUUGGUGAGGUAAUGGCUCACCAAGACGAUGAUUGGUAGGGGAUCUGAGAGGAUAAUCCCCCACACUGGCACUGAGAUACGGGCCAGACUCCUGCGGGAGGCAGCAGUAGGGAAUAUUGGGCAAUGGACGGAAGUCUGACCCAGCCAUGCCGCGUGCAGGAUGACGGCGUUAUGCGUUGUAAACUGCUUUUUUAUAGGAAGAAGGAGACCUUGCGAGGUUUGGUGACGGUACUAUAAGAAUAAGCACCGGCUAACUCCGUGCCAGCCGCCGCCGUAAUAC
rnacentral:rRNA from 1 species